AAUCAUAUACCAACCAGGAGUGCGAUCUCGGCUCGUCCUUUUCCUUUUGUUUACGAUCGCACUCGGCUCGUCCUUUUCCUUUUGUUUACGGUAGAGCGGGGGAGAAAAGGGCGGCUCCAAGGCGACUGAGAGUUCCGCCGGCGAUUUCGCUGGCUCUCUUCCUCUCCAGCGGCCGCUCCAGCACCGGAGAGGGAGGGGAGCCAGUGAAUCGUCGGACGGCGGUGUGUAGCAGUAGAUGUAGGGCUACGUCUUCACGCUUGUAUCUCCCGGCGGCGACUUUUAUAUCGACGUCUAAGGUUAGAAUUCCUCUUCUUUUCUCCAGUGGCAGCAGCGGUGAUGGCGUUGGCUCUGGAGAAGUUCGAAGGAGGAGGUUAGUAUUGCUAUAUCUUCUUGCAUUUGGGGUGGAGCUAUUGUAUAUCCCCUUGGGGUUUGUUUUCUGCGUAGGGGACCUUGUUGCAAGCAGCGGAAUUGUCUUCUGGUUGGCGUGUGCUGGUUCUUCCUUGGCUGCCCAACGCGGAUCUUCUGCUGGGUCCUUGCUAUUGGUUGAUGGCAGAGGCGCCAGCUUGCUCUCCUCGUGGCCUCCGGCGAGGUGGUGACAGACGUUCUUUCAGUGGUUUAGAUAAGUCUUGUGGGUGCCAAGGUGUUGGAUCUUGCGGCUUCGUACGUGCUUUGGAGCCUCUUUGCGGAGCUGCGGUGGGGAAAUCUCCGGUGCUUGCUAUCCUGCGUGACGGCGGUGAACGGAGCUACAGUUGGGGAACGAAAAGAUCCCGGUGGACUUCCUUGUAAUUCUUAGUUUUUUGGGGUCUCAGUCGUAUCUUGGGAUGUUUCAAUCCUUUAAUAUAUAUAUGUCCAUCCCUUCGGGGAAAAAAAC
rnacentral:lncRNA from 1 species